GGGCAAGCGAAAGAUAUAGACAAGAAGAAGAGCUCCCUUCGAUCCAAUCCAGGAGGGGAAGUGGUCGGAUGCAGCUGCCGGUUCAUGGAUACCUGUCUGGUGCAUGCAGUGUGGUAAUAGCCUGCGCACCUGCAUCGGUUUGCAUGACCCGGGAGAUGAACCUGCCAGCGUCUUUCCCUCGUGCUUGGAUUGAAGGGAGCUCUCUCUCCCCCCUCUCUCUCUCUCCCUCUCUCU
rnacentral:pre_miRNA from 1 species